UGGGAUUCUGACCCGAACCGGACAGUCCGAACCGAACCGAACCGAAAAUUAUGAAAUUCGGUUAUCGUUCGGUUAUUGAGAGCAAACCGAUCGGAAUGAUUUUACAAAAUGUUCGGUUAGUGCAUCGGUUCGGUUCGGUUCAUGAUAUCCGAUCGGUUAACCGAUAUUUAACCUAGGUAUAUAUAUGUAUCUUAUUAACCUAAACAAACCUAAUCUCUCUUUUCGUCCUCAAACUCGAGCGGCAGCUUCGUCGGAUUCUCAACCCUAGCAACUCGUCUUCUUCGUCUGAUUCUUCCAUCUUUUCGACCACUCUCUGUUCUGUGUAGAUCUGUAAAUUACAAGAGAAUCUCAUCAUUAGAGUUAAAGGUAAUAAUGUCAAUCUAUCUCAAUUGUUUUGUGUC